GAUGAACGCUGGCGGCGUGCCUAAUACAUGCAAGUCGAGCGAACGGACGAGAAGCUUGCUUCUCUGAUGUUAGCGGCGGACGGGUGAGUAACACGUGGAUAACCUACCUAUAAGACUGGGAUAACUUCGGGAAACCGGAGCUAAUACCGGAUAAUAUUUUGAACCGCAUGGUUCAAAAGUAAAAGACGGUCUUGCUGUCACUUAUAGAUGGAUCCGCGCUGCAUUAGCUAGUUGGUAUGGUAACGGCUUACCAAGGCAACGAUGCAUAGCCGACCUGAGAGGGUGAUCGGCCACACUGGAACUGAGACACGGUCCAGACUCCUACGGGAGGCAGCAGUAGGGAAUCUUCCGCAAUGGGCGAAAGCCUGACGGAGCAACGCCGCGUGAGUGAUGAAGGUCUUCGGAUCGUAAAACUCUGUUAUUAGGGAAGAAUAUAUGUGUAAGUAACUGUGCACAUCUUGACGGUACCUAAUCAGAAAGCCACGGCUAACUACGUGCCAGCAGCCGCGAUAAUACGUAGGUGGCAAGCGUUAUCCGGAAUUAUUGGGCGUAAAGCGCGCGUAGGCGGUUUUUUAAGUCUGAUGUGAAAGCCCACGGCUCAACCGUGGAGGGUCAUUGGAAACUGGAAAACUUGAGUGCAGAAGAGGAAAGUGGAAUUCCAUGUGUAGCGGUGAAAUGCGCAGAGAUAUGGAGGAACACCAGUGGCGAAGGCGACUUUCUGGUCUGUAACUGACGCUGAUGUGCGAAAGCGUGGGGAUCAAACAGGAUUAGAUACCCUGGUAGUCCACGCCGUAAACGAUGAGUGCUAAGUGUUAGGGGGUUUCCGCCCCUUAGUGCUGCAGCUAACGCAUUAAGCACUCCGCCUGGGGAGUACGACCGCAAGGUUGAAACUCAAAGGAAUUGACGGGGACCCGCACAAGCGGUGGAGCAUGUGGUUUAAUUCGAAGCAACGCGAAGAACCUUACCAAAUCUUGACAUCCUUUGACAACUCUAGAGAUAGAGCCUUCCCCUUCGGGGGACAAAGUGACAGGUGGUGCAUGGUUGUCGUCAGCUCGUGUCGUGAGAUGUUGGGUUAAGUCCCGCAACGAGCGCAACCCUUAAGCUUAGUUGCCAUCAUUAAGUUGGGCACUCUAAGUUGACUGCCGGUGACAAACCGGAGGAAGGUGGGGAUGACGUCAAAUCAUCAUGCCCCUUAUGAUUUGGGCUACACACGUGCUACAAUGGACAAUACAAAGGGCAGCGAAACCGCGAGGUCAAGCAAAUCCCAUAAAGUUGUUCUCAGUUCGGAUUGUAGUCUGCAACUCGACUACAUGAAGCUGGAAUCGCUAGUAAUCGUAGAUCAGCAUGCUACGGUGAAUACGUUCCCGGGUCU
rnacentral:rRNA from 1 species